UUAUAUGAGAGUUUGAUCCUGGCUCAGGAUGAACGCCGGCGGUGUGCCUAAUACAUGCAAGUCGUACGCACUGGCCCAACUGAUUGAUGGUGCUUGCACCUGAUUGACGAUGGAUCACCAGUGAGUGGCGGACGGGUGAGUAACACGUAGGUAACCUGCCCCGGAGCGGGGGAUAACAUUUGGAAACAGAUGCUAAUACCGCAUAACAACAAAAGCCACAUGGCUUUUGUUUAAAAGAUGGCUUUGGCUAUCACUCUGGGAUGGACCUGCGGUGCAUUAGCUAGUUGGUAAGGUAACGGCUUACCAAGGCGAUGAUGCAUAGCCGAGUUGAGAGACUGAUCGGCCACAAUGGAACUGAGACACGGUCCAUACUCCUACGGGAGGCAGCAGUAGGGAAUCUUCCACAAUGGGCGCAAGCCUGAUGGAGCAACACCGCGUGAGUGAAGAAGGGUUUCGGCUCGUAAAGCUCUGUUGUUGGAGAAGAACGUGCGUGAGAGUAACUGUUCACGCAGUGACGGUAUCCAACCAGAAAGUCACGGCUAACUACGUGCCAGCAGCCGCGGUAAUACGUAGGUGGCAAGCGUUAUCCGGAUUUAUUGGGCGUAAAGCGAGCGCAGGCGGUUGCUUAGGUCUGAUGUGAAAGCCUUCGGCUUAACCGAAGAAGUGCAUCGGAAACCGGGCGACUUGAGUGCAGAAGAGGACAGUGGAACUCCAUGUGUAGCGGUGGAAUGCGUAGAUAUAUGGAAGAACACCAGUGGCGAAGGCGGCUGUCUGGUCUGCAACUGACGCUGAGGCUCGAAAGCAUGGGUAGCGAACAGGAUUAGAUACCCUGGUAGUCCAUGCCGUAAACGAUGAGUGCUAGGUGUUGGAGGGUUUCCGCCCUUCAGUGCCGGAGCUAACGCAUUAAGCACUCCGCCUGGGGAGUACGACCGCAAGGUUGAAACUCAAAGGAAUUGACGGGGGGCCCGCACAAGCGGUGGAGCAUGUGGUUUAAUUCGAAGCUACGCGAAGAACCUUACCAGGUCUUGACAUCUUGCGCUAACCUUAGAGAUAAGGCGUUCCCUUCGGGGACACAAUGACAGGUGGUGCAUGGUCGUCGUCAGCUCGUGUCGUGAGAUGUUGGGUUAAGUCCCGCAACGAGCGCAACCCUUGUUACUAGUUGCCAGCAUUAAGUUGGGCACUCUAGUGAGACUGCCGGUGACAAACCGGAGGAAGGUGGGGACGACGUCAGAUCAUCAUGCCCCUUAUGACCUGGGCUACACACGUGCUACAAUGGACGGUACAACGAGUCGCAAGCUCGCGAGAGUAAGCUAAUCUCUUAAAGCCGUUCUCAGUUCGGACUGUAGGCUGCAACUCGCCUACACGAAGUCGGAAUCGCUAGUAAUCGCGGAUCAGCAUGCCGCGGUGAAUACGUUCCCGGGCCUUGUACACACCGCCCGUCACACCAUGGGAGUUUGUAACGCCCAAAGUCGGUGGCCUAACCUUUAUGGAGGGAGCCGCCUAAGGCGGGACAGAUGACUGGGGUGAAGUCGUAACAAGGUAGCCGUAGGAGAACCUGCGGCUGGAUCACCUCCUUU
rnacentral:rRNA from 1 species